AGUAGAUUCGAUCCUCGCCAUACUCUUCCAUGUUAGUUAUGGUUUACCAAGCCAUAAAUGUUAUACCCUAAAUGCUAAUUAAGGCAUAAGGGUGAAAGAUAUGGAAACAGAUUACGAGUGCAUGACAAAUAAUUGUAUGCAGCAGAGCAAAUUAUUACAAAUUCCCUACCAAAAUAUAUGAGUUCCAAUUAUACAUAUAACUGAGGCCAGAAGUGGCAACAAAAUACAAAAUAUCAAAAUACAAAAAUGGCCACUUUAUUUACUUUGUGAAUGGACUCAUCAGAGUGCAGGACAAGUCAUGCACUCAAGGUUUGUGGAUUCAUAGGAUCCUCAUUGACU
rnacentral:lncRNA from 1 species